AUGUCCGAGAUACCACAUGUGAUAACAAAAAAUGAGGCCACGUGGAGUGCUCCAAAAUCUGGCUGGGUAAUUUUAUGCACUGAUGGCUUGUUCGUGGACGAUGGUUCAGCUGGUGCAGGGAUGGUCCUGAGAGAUGACAAGGGUGCAAUUACAUUCUCAUCAUGUAGGCAACUCUUCUCAUGUCGUGAAGCCCUUGAAGCUGAACUAUGUGCUUGUAUGGAGGGGUUGUCGUUGGCUCUCCAGAGAAGUGAUCUUCCGGUCGUGAUCGAGAUGGAUUCGCUUAUCGCUGUGAAUUUGAUUCAGGCCAGGGAAGUGGACAUAUCAAUCUACACUUCGUUCAUUAAGGAGAUUAGAUAUCUUCUAUCACUCCAUGAAUCUUGUAUUACUCGUAUCAGUCGUAGUAAAAAAAAAGUUAGUGAUAGUCUAGCUAAGGGCCCAUUCGGCAAUCCAGCGGCUCCUCAAAAUCCAUGGAUGUGA
rnacentral:rRNA from 1 species